UACGGAGGGUGCAAGCGUUAUCCGGAUUCACUGGGCUUAAAGGGUGCGUAGGUGGGCUAGUAAGUCAGUGGUGAAAUCUCCGGGCUUAACCCGGAAACUGCCAUUGAUACUAUUAGUCUUGAAUACCAUGGAGGUGAGCGGAAUAUGUCAUGUAGCGGUGAAAUGCUUAGAUAUGACAUAGAACACCAAUUGCGAAGGCAGCUCGCUGCGCGGUUAUUGACACUGAGGCACGAAAGCGUGGGGAUCAAACAGG
rnacentral:rRNA from 1 species